rnacentral:snRNA from 1 species
GCUCGCUUCUGCAGUACGUAUACUAAAAUUGGAACAAUACAGAGAUUAGCAUGGCCCCUGAUCAAAGA